AGUGAACGCUGGCGGUAGGCCUAACACAUGCAAGUCGAACGGCAGCACAGUAAGAGCUUGCUCUUACGGGUGGCGAGUGGCGGACGGGUGAGGAAUACAUCGGAAUCUACUUUUUCGUGGGGGAUAACGUAGGGAAACUUAUGCUAAUACCGCAUACGACCUACGGGUGAAAGCAGGGGAUCUUCGGACCUUGCGCGAUUGAAUGAGCCGAUGUCGGAUUAGCUAGUUGGCUGGGUAAAGGCCCACCAAGGCGACGAUCCGUAGCUGAUCUGAGAGGAUGAUCGGCCACACUGGAACUGAGACACGGUCCAGACUCCUACGGGAGGCAGCAGUAGGGAAUAUUGGGCAAUGGGCGCAAGCCUGAUCCAGCCAUACCGCGUGAGUGAAGAAGGCCUUCGGGUUGUAAAGCCCUUUUGUUGGGAAAGAAAAACAGCAGGUUAAUACCCCGCUGUUCUGACGGUACCCAAAGAAUAAGCACCGGCUAACUUCGUG
rnacentral:rRNA from 1 species